UGGUAAGCUUACUCGUAAAUUUCAAAGAAAGUAUCCAUAACUUCAACCAUGAUAUCAAAUUGAUGACCAUUUCCAGAGACAAAAUAGAAACAUGUUGCUGUACAUUACAUUUUCAAGGUACCACAUUUUAAAUGUAUUAUUAGAUAAUGCUUUGUUCUCAAGUCCUCUGGUCGGUUAAUUCCUUGAAAUAACUCUUUAUCUUUACAGCUGAACAUUGUUUAUAGUGCCAAGUAUGGAUCACAGUUCAAUCACACAGAGGUUAGAGGUUUCAGUCAAGGUUCGAUUGUGGUGGACAGUGUGCUCAUUUUCAACAAUGUCACCACAGUUCCUAAUACCAGUGAUGUGGUAGCUACCUUCGUACAGGCUGCCAACAACUCUAAUUUCUCCCUCCCAGUGAACACAAGCACUAUUGUGGCAACAAGAAUUGCUCCAACAGAUGCCCCAACAACAACAGUAACAACUGCGGCUGUUACUUCGACAUCAACAUCCAAUGUGUCAACAACACAAUCCACACCAAUCAUCAAUCCAACUGCUACGGCAACUGCUACGGCAACUGCUACGGCAACUGCUACGGCAACUGCCACUUCCAUUGCCUUAACUACCCAGCAUGUGACGUCAAAUGCUAUAGCAACUGCUACUCCAACUGCUACGGCAACUGCCACUUCCAUUGCCUUAACUACCCAGCAUGUGACGUCAAAUGCUAUAGCAACUGCUACGGCAACUGCUACGGCAACUGCCACUUCCAUUGCCUUAACUACCCAGCAUGUGACGUCAAAUGCUAUAGCAACUGCUACUCCAACUGCUACGGCAACUGCCACUUCCAUUGCCUUAACUACCCAGCAUGUGACGUCAAAUGCUAUAGCAACUGCUACUCCAACUGCUUCGGCAACUGCCACUUCCAUUGCCUUAACUACCCAGCAUGUUACGGCAAUUGCUACAGCAACUGCUACUCCAACUGCUACGGCAACUGCUGCUCCAACUGCUACGGCAACUGCUGCUCCAACUGCUACGGCAACUGCUGCUCCAACUGCUACGGCAACUGCCACUUCCAUUGCCUUAACUACCCAGCAUGUUACGGCAAUUGCUACAGCAACUGCUACUCCAACUGCUACGGCAACUGCUGCUCCAACUGCUACGGCAACUGCUGCUCCAACUGCUACGGCAACUGCUGCUCCAACUGCUACGGCAACUGCUGCUCCAACUGCUGCUACUACAACCCCCACAUCCACCACAACCACCACAGUCAUAUCAACUGACCCUCCAUCUCCUACUGAAGGAACCCUGAGAUUUCGGUUCAGUCUCAAUCAGAUUUUCACCUCAGAUCUCAACAACCCGGCAUCUUCAGCUUUCAAAAGUCUGGCCAGUAUGGUGAUCACAGCGGUGAACACCAUUUUCAAGAACACACCAAACUUCCGUCGUUCCCUUUUGAAUUCAUUCACGAAUGGAUCUGUAGUUACCAACAUGACAUUAGUGUUCAGCAACAAAUCUUCGGUUCCUUCUGCAAGCAGUGUAGUCGCAACUUUCCUAAACAAUGUGAAUAACACCAACCUGACUAUUGUACCGGGUAGCGUUUCUGGUGCUCCCAGACCAAUUGCCUUCUCUCUGGCUGCCUUGCUUCUUGCUUUGACAGUAGUAAUGGUACAGCUGAUGGCUAGCUAAUAGCUUGUGUCAUAAAUGCUUCGGCAUUGUUUUACUGUUUUCCAGUUCUCAUAGAGGCAGAAUGAGAUACAUUAUUUUAUUUGAUGAAGUGUGUAAAAUAAACCAAGCUAACCUUAUUAACUUGUCAACUAAGUUUCUAUUUAAUGUAAAUGUCCCUAUGUUCUGAAUAUACACAAGCAAAAACACAUGAAUUAAGCAUUUUUUGAUAUCUAAGAUGUCACAUAAUAUGCAAUUACCCUUUUUUAACAAUAUUGAAGUGUUCUCCUCACAUAUGUUUCUAGACAAAAUGUAUGAAUGAAGCUCAAUGAAAUCCCCUCAUAUGGAUGCAAGAAAUUAUCAUCCUUGAUGUCAAAGUAAUAGUUGACAGUAAUCACCAAUGUUUUUUUGACAGCAAUCACCAAUGUUUUUUUUUAUAAUCAUUGGGUAAAUAUAAUUAAUCUAUUUGUCUAUAAGUGUAUGUAACAACUGCACAUUAUCUCUUAGAUAAAAGGUACUGCAGAUACUUCUGUUUUUCAAAGCCAUAGUCAAAACACUUGUGACAAUUUGAUAACAAUUUGCAUGAGUUAUUUAAUUAUUAACUGAUUGUAACCACUUACAUUUAAAUUUGGAAGGAUCUUUAUGAUGUUCAAUUGUUAUUUUGGACUAUGAAAGUUGCUGAGGAACUAAUGUCUACCAUUGCAAUAUUUUAUAUUUCUGAAAAAGCAUUUUCUGUAUUUAUCUUUAUAAGAAUAAGGUAAGAAAAUAUGUUGUAACAUAAAAUAGACAAAAAUAAUUAUACAGAGUUGUUUGUUUCAACACAGUUGAAAUAAUAACAUUUUUGGUCACCUUUAACUGGGUAGCAAUGUGGGUCACCCCAAAUAAUACUAUGUUAUCUUUUAUUUAAAUAAACAUAUAACAUUAACUCACCUCUUCCUGUGUCGUUAGCAUCCAAUAUAAAGUUGCAGACUGGAAUUAAAGAAGCAUAAUCCUGCCAUUAGACAAACUGUCUAGAUUUAAGCGAUAAUGCACAGAUUUUAUUACUAGACUGCAGCAGUAGCACUAGCAAUAAACCAUACAUUUAAUUAACACUGUUCGGUGCAGAUGCAUGUACACCAAAACCAG
ensembl:lncRNA